AACGAACGCUGGCGGCAUGCCUAACACAUGCAAGUCGAACGGGAUCCGGACUUCGGUCCGGUGAGAGUGGCGGACGGGUGAGUAACGCGUGGGAACCUGCCUUUUGGUUCGGGAUAACCGCGGGAAACUGCGGCUAAUACCGGAUGCUCCCGAGAGGGAAAGAUUUAUCGCCAGAAGAGGGGCCCGCGUCCGAUUAGGUAGUUGGUGGGGUAAUGGCCUACCAAGCCGACGAUCGGUAGCUGGUCUGAGAGGAUGAUCAGCCACACUGGGACUGAGAUACGGCCCAGACUCCUACGGGAGGCAGCAGUGGGGAAUAUUGGACAAUGGGGGCGAACCCUGAUCCAGCAAUGCCGCGUGAGUGAUGAAGGCCUUAGGGUUGUAAAGCUCUUUUGCCAGGGAAGAUGAUGACUGUACCUGGAGAAUAAGCCCCGGCUAACUUCGUGCCAGCAGCCGCGGUAAU
rnacentral:rRNA from 1 species